rnacentral:ncRNA from 1 species
CAGAGGCGCGAAGUGCAUCAGUAACCCGGUUUGAAGUCCCCUGCCAGGGGCAUAAACUGGGUGAAAGGGUACUUCGCCGAAGGCGAUGCGCGGCACGCAUUGACCUGGGCUCGUAACCAAACAGGUGCGGGACUGUCACACCCUGAAAGGUGUGUUGCGCUGUGUG